AUUGUGAAAAUCUAAUAGAUAAUGAUAUACACAUUAUUGCUUCAACAGAAACCAACAUGACACCUACUGAAGAAAAAACACUGGAUUUGGUCCUUGACAAUGAGCAGAGAGGUGGUUACAGCUCUGGUGAAGUAGUGUCUGGACAUAUUUCUCUCAAACUUUCAAGAGAAACCACAGUCAAAACUAUAAAAGUUCUGCUGAAAGGAUAUGCUCAGGUGAGCUGGAUGCAUAGGCAGUCCCGCUGUUCAGAAGAGAGAAAAUACCUUUCCUUAUCCAAGACACUUGUAGGAGCUACAGGUAUCCAGGACUUCAUCCUUGAUAGUGGCACACAUGUAAUCCCCUUUGUGCUACAGCUACCUCAGAGCCCCUUGGUUUCCUCAUUUUCUGGAAAACAUGGUCGUGUUCACUACAUGGUGCAGGCAGUUUUAAAAAGGCCUUUCAAUGAGAAUCAGUGUGUUUGCAGAGAUCUUUGCAUCAUUAAUCACAUUGAUGUCAAUUUGCCAACAUUAAUAUCUCCUGUAUCACAAACCUGUAAGAAGAUGAUCGGGCGUUGGAUCUUUGCUUCAGGUCCCAUCUCACUGACUGUCAACAUAGACCGACAGGGUUAUUGCAAUGGAGAAUCAAUCCCAAUAGAUGCUCUGAUUGAGAACCGCUCCUCUCGCCUGGUUUUGCCAAAAGCAGUGUUAUACCAGAAACAGACCUACAUGGCCAAUGGCAAAACAAAAAUCACCAAGCAGGUGGUUUCCAGUGCUUGAGGAAAUGUAGUGGCAUCAGACUUUUCCAGUAGAUGGAAUGGAAACGCACUGAAGGUUCCUCCAGUUUCUCCUUCCAUACUGAAUUCAGACAUCCUGAGGGUGGAAUACUUCCUUUCAGUUAUUGUUGAGAUACCAGGUGCCAAAAAUCUGGAGGUGCAGCUUCCAGUGGUGAUUUGUACCAAUAUUCUUGGCAACAGGUUUGAAAUGAGCAGUCGUUCUACUAUGGGUUUGCUAUACCCCACAUUUACUCUACCAGAUGUCGCUGAAGCCCCUCCCAGCUAUGCAGAGGUAAUGUCAGGGGAACGAUAUGAGGAGCAAAGAACUUUAACCUGUCAGUCACAUCCAGACUGGUUGUUGGAUGGUCCAGGAUUCAGCUGCAUUCGUCAUUUCCACGUCCAGCCUCCUCCAUCUUAUUCAGAGGUCAGUUGUUUCUUCGUCAUUACAAUGUUCCUGGUAGACUUAAAACAGUACAUUAUUUUUACAUUGCAGAUUUACCCAAAUGAACACUGA